GGGAACCAUAAGUUCCUCUUGCUUUUUGCAUCAAUUCCGGCUCCUCGUGGUUCACUCAGGAGUUUCCCCGGUAAGCUAUCAGGAUCAAUUUCCUUUCUCCUGACAAAACCUUUUCAGUCAGCACCUGAGAUUCCAGAAAUGCUUCCCCACGCUAAUGAGGUACGCCAGGUACCCUUAGCCCCCAGCCAAUGCUCUUUGCCCAUCCAGGAUGUUCCUGCCCUCUGUCCCCCAAAACUUUAUAAGCCUUCAAUCACCUAUUAAGGCAGAUAACCGAAUUGCUGAUGAUCCACGAGAGCAGGGAGACCCACCGGUGCCUUGCAAGGUUACCUUCUCCAACCAUGGGGCCUAAAAGGGUAUCCAAUAGAGUUCUUCCUUUGCAAUUUAUUCAGGGUCUAGACUAAAACAAAAUGACAGAAACACCUCAUCACCCCCUCAGUUCUUGUUAUGAUACGUUUUAGAUUUAUUCUUAUGUGUAUGUUUUGCCUGCAUGUAUGUAUGUAUGUAUGUAUGUGCAUCGUGUGUGUGUGUGUGUGUGUGUGUGUGUGUGUGUGUGCAAUGCCCACAGAGGCCAGAGACCAUCAGCUCCCCUGGAACUGUAGUUAUAGGUACUUGUGAGCCACCACUUGGAGAUUGGAAACAAAACCCAGGUGUUCCGCAACAAGAGUAGAAUGCACUUUUCUUUGAUAUUUAAAACAGUUUAGGUGAUGUGAGCAUCCUCUAGUCCAUUUCCUGAUGGAGUCCGAUGGAGUCCCUGUUCCUGUCUGAAAUUGGUGAGCCUGGCUUUCAUUGUCUGCAACCCCACUGGCAUUCGGGCACCCCUGGAAUCACUCAGUAAGAUGAUCUGACAAUGUUAUAGGGUAGCUCUAGUUUACAGCUCGAAACAUUUUCAAAUCCUUCUCACAAGUCAGUCCCCAAAGAGUUAGUGAGAAAACUGCAGUGGUGUCUGGGUAACUGGCUCCUAGUGGACAAAAUGCCCUUUGUAGGUAAAUGGCCUAGAGGCUAACAUUCAGACACUGGAAGAAGAAAAGUGAAGAGGGAGGCAGCGAAAGCUAACAAACGCCAUCCAUCCAUCCAUCCAUCCAACUAUCCAUCCGUCCAUCCACCUGUGUGAGACAUUGCUGGAUCUCUCUCCUGUGUCCUGGACCAUCCACGGGCUCUCUGCUUCCAUGCUCAGUGUUCUAAUCUGGUUCACGCCUCAAACUCUAACCUCAUCUCUCUAUCGCUGACAGCCUGGUUCCUUUUUUUCUUGGCAAAGACUUUGACCUGUACAUAAACUGCACGAGGCAUCUCAUACCGGAAACGCUUUACUGCUGUCUGAAGUUCAUGCCCUCCAAGUCAGGGCUUUCAUCUCCCUGGCCUUGCUGAAGUCACUCCUAGCACAACAGUUCUCUGAACUCAGUAGGGCUCUGUGGCCCUCAGCCCUCUUCAGGAAGCUUAUCAGUCACUCUGGCCUUCCCUGCCACGCUGCCUAGACUGUGUCACAAGGACACACCACUUCCGCCACAGCUUGCCAUUGCUCCCUUUCCACCUCCGUUCCAUUAUCACUUUAUCUAUUUGUGUGUGUGUGUGUGUGUGUGUGUGUGUGUGUGUGUGUGUGUGUGUGUGUGUGUGGUGAGAGCACAACUCAGAGCUCAGAGUACAGUUUUCUCUUUCAAACAUGGGUUCAGGGAGUGGACCCAGGCUCUCAGGUU
rnacentral:lncRNA from 1 species